rnacentral:rRNA from 1 species
GACGAACGCUGGCGGCGUGCUUAACACAUGCAAGUCGAACGGAAAGGCCCCUUUGGGGGUACUCGAGUGGCGAACGGGUGAGUAACACGUGAGUAACCUGCCCUUGACUUCGGGAUAACUUCAGGAAACUGGGGCUAAUACCGGAUAGGAAUCCUUGCUGCAUGGUGGGGGUUGGAAAGCUUCAGCGGUUUUGGAUGGACUCGCGGCUGAUCAGCUUGUUGGUGGGGUAGUGGCUUACCAAGGCUUUGACGGGUAGCCGGCCUGAGAGGGCGACCGGCCACAGUGGGACUGAGAUACGGCCCAGACUCCUACGGGAGGCAGCAGUGGGGAAUAUUGCACAAUGGGCGGAAGCCUGAUGCAGCAACGCCGCGUGCGGGAUGACGGCCUUCGGGUUGUAAACCGCUUUCAGCAGGGGCGAAGCUUGUGGUGACGGUACCUGCAGAAGAAGCACCGGCUAACUACGUG